rnacentral:rRNA from 1 species
ACUCCUACGGGAGGCAGCAGUGGGGAAUAUUGCACAAUGGGCGCAAGCCUGAUGCAGCCAUGCCGCGUGUGUGAAGAAGGCCUUCGGUUGUAAAGCACUUUCAGUCGUGAGGAAGGUGGUAGUGUUAAUAGCACUAUCAUUUGACGUUAGCGACAGAAGAAGCACCGGCUAACUCCGUGCCAGCAGCCGCGGUAAUACGGAGGGUGCGAGCGUUAAUCGGAAUUACUGGGCGUAAAGCGCAUGCAGGUGGUUUGUUAAGUCAGAUGUGAAAGCCCGGGGCGUCAACCUCGGAAUAGCAUUUGAAACUGGCAGACUAGAGUACUGUAGAGGGGGUAGAAUUUCAGGUGUAGCGGUGAAAUGCGUAGAGAUCUGAAGGAAUACCGGUGGCGAAGGCGGCCCCCUGGACAGAUACUGACACUCAGAUGCGAAAGCGUGGGGAGCAAACAGGAUUAGAUACCCUGGUAGGAUAGCG